GGCCAAGCUGGCCGCGCCUUGCCACGGCGAGUCCGGCCAAAGUCCGGACGGGAAGUGAAAGGGAGGCGCUGGGCCUCCCUUGGUUC
rnacentral:tRNA from 1 species